rnacentral:tRNA from 1 species
GUGGGCAUAGUUUAACCAAAAUUUUAGUUUGUGGUUCUAAAGAUAGGGGUUAAAACCCCCUUGCCAACC